rnacentral:rRNA from 1 species
ACGGAAGGCAGCAGUGGGGAAUAUUGCACAAUGGGGGAAACCCUGAUGCAGCGACGCCGCGUGAGCGAUGAAGUAUUUCGGUAUGUAAAGCUCUAUCAGCAGGGAAGAUAAUGACGGUACCUGACUAAGAAGCCCCGGCUAACUACGUGCCAGCAGCCGCGGUAAUACGUAGGGGGCAAGCGUUAUCCGGAUUUACUGGGUGUAAAGGGAGCGCAGGCGGUUUUUUAAGUCUGAUGUGAAAGCCCGUGGCUCAACUGCGGGACUGCAUUGGAAACUGGAGAACUAGAGUGUCGGAGGGGCAAGUGGAAUUCCUAGUGUAGCGGUGAAAUGCGUAGAUAUUAGGAAGAACACCGGUGGCGAAGGCGGCCUGCUGGACGGUAACUGACGUUGAGGCUCGAAAGCGUGGGGAGCAAACAGGAUUAGAUACCCUGGUA